CUCCAGUCAAAAGCAGUAUCGCUGCUGGAAUCAAACCUGCGGAUCCCAUAGACACCAAGCCGUUCUACCCAUUGCCAACCCACACAACGGAUAUUACCGACUGGGAUGGUGCGGUCAUCGACACGGAAUGGUGGCAGUACAUAAGGAGAGGGUUGAGGCAAACUAGAGCUCCUUCCGAACUGGCGUCUAGAGAAUUAUGCAACACUAGAUGCCGUCAAGCUCACCCAAA